CAUAUGGUUUGUAUUUAUCUUUUAAGUCCAAAUCAUAUAUAUAGUUUAAAUUCAGAGACAAAAUUUUAUAAGGCUGAUCAUGUUUUACACUUUAAUUGACAUGUCUGCUUUAAGAAAAUACCGGAGACAAGACACAACACAAACGCAACUACAAUGAGUUUGCCACGGGCGAGAAGUCCAAAGACUCCUGUCCUGAAGACCCCCAAAAGAAAAAGUUAAAAGAAAAAUAUCAAACGGGAGUUAAAGGAGAGCCGUCAGAUCUAAAAUAUUAAAACAAAAAUAGGUCCCAUUUCUAAAUAUCCAACGGUAGAUAUUCAUCUCUCCCUCUCAUCUCAGUUUGCACAAUAUAAAUCCCUAAAAAUGGCGCAAACAAAAACCUAGUCAGCCACUCUCAGAGACUUUCUCUCUCUCUCACUCUCAGUCUAGAUCUCGUGAAUCCAAUGGACCAAGAAGGAGGAAAUCCAUGUGAUUUUGAAGUAAAGAAGGCUUUUUUAAAGCCUAAAGCUCCAACCGCCGAUGACCCAGAUUCCAUUUCUCCAUUACAGUCAGACCCGUCUAUGUCUCAACAGUUAUCCGAUGAAGAAAUAAUCGAGUCUGUCUAUCAGAGUCUCUUGUUAAUCAUUCUCUCACUGCAACUACAAGAGGUCAGUGCUGAGGUUUGGUGUUUUGAUUGCUGCAAGACACCUCCUCCUUCGCGGGUUGCAGAAACUGUUCCGGCGGAUACUUGUCCCGGAGCUCCAAUGAAGCUCGCUAAGUACUCAAGGACCAUUGACUCUGGACUCAGAAGGAAGCUCUUCUGAAUCUGACUAAUGUUGAAUUGAUGUUGUGACAUAAUGUUAGCUUUAGCUGGUAGAGCUUUUAGGGAUUGUAAUUUUAACUCUCUUUUAACUCUAGCUUCUUGCUUUUACUUAUGUUUGUACAGUCUUCUCAAAGGCUUUUAUGGGGACUCGUUGCUAAGCUAAGCUUCUUGUUGUUGUUGGAGACAUUCGGUUCUAUCUUUACUAGACAAAAAAAUCAAAACUUUCCCUUCUCUU